rnacentral:rRNA from 1 species
AUUGAACGCUGGCGGAAUGCUUUACACAUGCAAGUCGAACGGCAGCACGGGGCAACCUGGUGGCGAGUGGCGAACGGGUGAGUAAUACAUCGGAACGUGCCCAGUCGUGGGGGAUAACGUAGCGAAAGCUACGCUAAUACCGCAUACGAUCUACGGAUGAAAGCGGGGGACUCGCAAGAGCCUCGCGCGAUUGGAGCGGCCGAUGGCAGAUUAGGUAGUUGGUGGGGUAAAGGCUCACCAAGCCUGCGAUCUGUAGCUGGUCUGAGAGGACGACCAGCCACACUGGAACUGAGACACGGUCCAGACUCCUACGGAGGCAGCAGUGGGGAAUUUUGGACAAUGGGCGCAAGCCUGAUCCAGCCAUUCCGCGUGCAGGAUGAAGGCC